rnacentral:rRNA from 1 species
GAAGUAAGUUAACUAAUUAUAUGAGAAAAAAGGAUUUGGUAAUUAAAUCAAUAGUAGGGAAAGAGUUUAGUAUUGGGUAUAAAUUAAAUUGGGGGAGUAAUAAAGAGAGUACCGUGAGGGAAAGCUGAAAUAGAUGAAAAUAAAUUAAUUUGAAAGUAGGUUUGGUGCUGUACCUUUUGUAUCAGGGUUUAUUAAAUAGGUAAGAUAAGUUUCUAAGGUCUCGAUACAAGGAGGGCUACUUUGCUAGUCUAUAUAAGGUAGUAAACUUAUUGGAAAUAGCAGGGUAGGGACGAAAAGUUAAUCGAUCCUUGUGGUUUCUAGUUUCUCAAGAAAUAAAUUUAAUUUAGGAUUAGUGUGAAUUUUGGGUAUUAAUCUUGAAAUUUGAGACUAUUCUGCUAGCUUGAGGGAUAAGCUUUGAGUUAGGAUUAAAACUUUAAAUACAGGGAAAUUUGUAGGCUUGAAAGUAGUCACCAAUUAAAGGAUGUUAUAGUUUAUUUUCUAUUUGAAUAAUUUUAUUGGGUUUAGUUGAAUAUUGAGAAUACAUUUUAAAUUGUUAAGAUGAGGUAUAAUGGUGAGAUUAGUAUAAUUAUGGAAACAAAGAUUUAUCUCAGUAAGGAACUCGGCAAAUAAAGUGCUCGCCUGUUUAUCAAAAACAUCGCCUUUUGGGGAAAUAGAAGGUCUAACCUGCCCACUGAAGAAGUUAAAGGGCCGCGGUAUUUUGACCGUGCAAAGGUAGCAUAAUCAUUAGUCUUCUAAUUAAAGGCUGGAAUGAAUGGUUGGACGAGGUACUAGCUGUCUCACUGAGAAAUUUUUGAAUUUAGCUUUUUAGUCAAAAGGCUGAAAUAAGGUUGGAGGACGAGAAGACCCUAUAGAGCUUUACGUUAGACUUUUUUAAUUUGUUUGGCAGGAUUUUAAUUUUAAAGGGUAAACGUUUCGUUGGGGUGACGGGAAGAUAUAAUCAACUCUUUUUGAAUUUUAACACUGAUGAGUGAAUGAAUGAUCCAUUAUUAAUGAUUAAAAGACUAAGUUACCUUAGGGAUAACAGCGUAAUCUUUUUUGAGAGUUCUAAUCGACAAGAAGGGUUGCGACCUCGAUGUUGGACUAAGGGUUAUUUUUGGGUGCAGCAGCUCAAAGUUUAGGUCUGUUCGACCUUUGAAUCCUUACAUGAUCUGAGUUCAGACCGGCGUAAGCCAGGUCGGUUUCUAUCCUCAAUUAGUUGAAAUAUUUUAGUACGAAAGGACCAAAUAUUUGAGAAAAUCUUAGAAAGUGAAUAAUAGUAACUA